rnacentral:tRNA from 1 species
CAAAGGGUAGUUUAAUUAAAAAUUCCGGCUUUGGGGGCCGGGGAAGGGGGUUAAUGCCUUCUCUUUUGA